UUAAUCUCAGCCAUGGAAAAACUGAUGAUUAUUGUGCUUUUCUUCUCAGCACAGGACUCUGUGUGCUGGGGGCAAGACAGAGUUGAACAGCCUUUAGGAGAAAUUACUGCAAUUAAAGGAGAUCCAGUUACUCUACAGUGCAAUUAUUCUACCAGUGCUACAAAUGCUUAUCUCUUCUGGUACAAACAGCUACCAAACAGAUCACCAACAUUCAUUCUGAGUGAAUUUACAAUUGGUAAAGGAACUACUGAAGAUGAAUUUAAAGAGAGAUUUUCUGCAACAUUGGACUCCAAAUCAAGCACAGUUCGACUGACAAUCAAGAAUCUGCGUGUGUCUGACUCUGCUGUGUACUACUGUGCUCUGAAGCCCACAAGUGCAAUACACAAGAUUCUGUCAAUCAACCAACAAGAGUUCAAACAGCUUCUGAACAUGAGAUGGUUAAACUUCACUGCACUUACAGUACCAGUGAUUCAUACCCUUAUCUUUACUGGAACCAACAUAAAACCAAUGGAUUACCAGUUUACAUGCUCCGUAAACUCUCGACUGGAUCAAGCAGCAGUGAAAAAGAAUUUGAGGAAAGUUUUCAUGCAGAUCUCAACAAAUCCUCAAGCUCAGUGA